CAUCGGCAAGGUCUGAUAAAAAACUUAUCGAAUAACACUUAAGUGCUAAUAACAUUUGAUAGGGUAGUCAGAGCUACAAUGUUUUGAACUUGUUAGACCAACCUAAUCGAUUAUUAGGGAAAAUCAAUUCGUGCUUGCCAUUUCAUUAGGGCACAUAACUUUUUUUAGGCUAGAGUGUGUCCCUUUCACACCUUAUGUAAACUGUCAUUUGAGUGAAAGAGAUACACUAUUGUUUACAAAAGUUAUGUGCCCUUUUGAAAUGUUAGGCUCCAAUUAGCGCUGAUUUGUUGUUGAUUGGCUAAUUAAUUAGUGGCUAUUUGACAGAGCAUUCACACCUCGUACCAAAUGAUCUUGACGUGUGAACAAACUCCGUUCUGUCAGUUCAAUGUUUUGAUUUUUUUUCUCGAUGACCGCUGGCAAAAUUUGUGUGCAUUAACUGGUCAAUCUGGCCAAGAACUCGUGUCCAGUGUACAUGACUGUCGUGAAGGGACCCUCUGGAUAUCGAAAAGUCGGAUGGUGAGUAGGGGGAAUUGGGGAUGGGGAUGGGAAUUGAAAAAUGAUGCUCAACAUUCAAAUGCGUUUUUCUCGAAACGCACGGUUUGUACAUGAUGCUUUUUGGAAUGUUGGCGUCGAAUUUUAAAUCAAAGUCAACCCGAUUUUAGGUUGAUUUGGUUCUCUUCUCUUAACAGUGUAGCGGCUCAUGCGCUCAUGUCAAAUCUGUCAAAUCGAACGUCAGCAAUGUUUGAAUGUUUAAUAUUGAGUUGAGGGAGCAUUUCUGGCUCUUAAAUUCCCUAAUUAUGGCCAUAAAUAGCCGAAACUUGCACCUCCAGUCUGGAAACCAGGAAAAAAGAAACAAAUUUGUGCAUUGGUCAUGGUUGUUUGAGUGGGUUAAAAAUCCAGAAUGCUUCGCGGCAAGAACUCUUCCGGCACCCUUUGGCCCUGACGGCUGACGGUUACGAUUCCUGAAACUCAUCCCGAAAGAUUGCUACAGAAGUGGUACUAUGGAACCGUUUUAGCUGGUGUAUUUUAAAAAAGUUAAUCCUUGCAAGCUUAUGACCGUCGGUUGGAUCGGAAACGGGACGGUCUACAACACGCAGCUGGCUGACUAAAAAAAACCAGCCGGUGGGGCGAGUACGUCAAGAUGGAAUAAACCAGAAGCAAAGUUCUGGUCAGAUUGCUCGGAACGAAAAUAAAGGAAUGUACACAGAAGAACAUAGUUUUUGAAAAUUCAUUUCUGUAUGUGCUUCUUGAAGUGGGAAGUGUGAAACUAAUAAAA